rnacentral:rRNA from 1 species
GACGAACGCUGGCGGCGUGCUUAACACAUGCAAGUCGAACGGAAAGGCCCUGCUUUUGUGGGGUGCUCGAGUGGCGAACGGGUGAGUAACACGUGAGUAACCUGCCCUUGACUUUGGGAUAACUUCAGGAAACUCGGGCUAAUACCGGAUAUGAGCUCCUGCUGCAUGGUGUGGGUUGGAAAGUUUCGGCGGUUGGGGAUGGACUCGCGGUUUAUCAGCUUGUUGGUGGGGUAGUGGCGUACCAAGGCUUUGAUGGGUAGCCAGCUUGAGAGGGUGACCGGCCACAUUGGGACUGAGAUACGGCCCAGACUGCUACGGGAGGCAUCAGUGAGGAAUAUUGCACGCUGGGCGGAAGCCUGAUGGAGCAACGCCGCGUGCGAGAUGACGGCCGUCGGGGUGGAACCCGCGUGCGCCUGUGACGAAGCGUGAGUGACGGUAAUGGGUAAAGAAGCACCGGCUAACUACGUG